rnacentral:rRNA from 1 species
GAUGAACGCUGGCGGCGUGCCUAAUACAUGCAAGUCGAGCGAACGGACGAGAAGCUUGCUUCUCUGAUGUUAGCGGCGGACGGGUGAGUAACACGUGGAUAACCUACCUAUAAGACUGGGAUAACUUCGGGAAACCGGAGCUAAUACCGGAUAAUAUUUUGAACCGCAUGGUUCAAAAGUGAAGGACGGUCUUGCUGUCACUUAUAGAUGGAUCCGCGCUGCAUUAGCUAGUUGGUAAGGUAACGGCUUACCAAGGCAACGAUGCAUAGCCGACCUGAGAGGGUGAUCGGCCACACUGGAACUGAGACGCGGUCCAGACUCCUACGGGAGGCAGCAGUAGGGAAUCUUCCGCAAUGGGCGAAAGCCUGACGGAGCAACGCCGCGUGAGUGAUGAAGGUCUUCGGAUCGUAAAACUCUGUUAUUAGGGAAGAACAUAUGUGUAAGUAACUGUGCACAUCUUGACGGUACCUAAUCAGAAAGCCACGGCUAACUACGUG